rnacentral:rRNA from 1 species
UACGUAGGGGGCGAGCGUUGUCCGGAGUUACUGGGCGUAAAGGGCAUGCAGGCGGUCAGACGCGUUUUUGUGUGACAGCGGAGGGCUUCACUCUCCGAGCAUACGAAAGACGGUGUGACUUGAGGGCUCGAGAGGGACACGGAAUUCCGGGUGGAGUGGUGAAAUGCGUAGAGAUCCGGAGGAACACCGAAGGCGAAGGCAGUGUCCUGGCGAGUAUCCUGACGCUGAGGUGCGAAAGCCAGGGGGAGCGAACGGG